rnacentral:rRNA from 1 species
GACGAACGCUGGCGGCGCGCUUAACACAUGCAAGUCGAACGGAAAGGCCUGCUUUCCCUUGUGGAUUGCGGGUACUCGAGUGGCGAACGGGUGAGUAACACGUGAGUGAUCUGCCCCCAACUUGGGUAUAAGCCUGGGAAACUGGGUCUAAUUCCCGAUAGGACUGCAGGGUGGUGCCUGUGGUGGAAAACGAUUUUCUAGUGGUUGGGGAUGGGCUCGCGGCCUAUCAGCUUGUUGGUGGGGUAAUGGCCUACCAAGGCGGCGACGGGUAGCCGGCCUGAGAGGGUGGACGGCCACAUUGGGACUGAGAGACGGCCCAGACUCCUACGGGAGGCAGCAGUGGGGAAUAUUGCACAAUGGGCGGAAGCCUGAUGCAGCGACGCCGCGUGGGGGAUGACGGCCUUCGGGUUGUAAACUCCUUUCGACCGCGAGGAAGCCACCUGGUUGGAAGGGUGGUGACGGUAGUGGUAGAAGAAGCACCGGCUAACUACGUG